AUGAACGCUGGCGGCGUGCCUAAUACAUGCAAGUCGAGCGCACGGACGAGAAGCUUGCUUCUCUAAUGUUAGCGGCGGACGGGUGAGUAACACGUGGAUAACCUACCUAUAAGACUGGGAUAACUUCGGGAAACCGUAGCUAAUACCGGAUAAUAUUUUGAACCGCAUGGUUCAAAAGUGAAAGACGGUCUUGCUGUCACUUAUAGAUGGAUCCGCGCUGCAUUAGCUAGUUGGUAAGGUAACGGCUUACCAAGGCAACGAUGCAUAGCCGACCUGAGAGGGUGAUCGGCCACACUGGAACUGAGACACGGUCCAGACUCCUACGGGAGGCAGCAGUAGGGAAUCUUCCGCAAUGGGCGAAAGCCUGACGGAGCAACGCCGCGUGAGUGAUGAAGGUCUUCGGAUCGUAAAACUCUGUUAUUAGGGAAGAACAUAUGUGUAAGUAACUGUGCACAUCUUGACGGUACCUAAUCAGAAAGCCACGGCUAACUACGUG
rnacentral:rRNA from 1 species